UUAAAAGUGAGGGGCCCAGAACUGAGCACAGCACUGAAGGUGCAGCCUCAUGAUGCUGAGGGGUGAUCCCUGCCCUGGUCCUGCUGGUCACACUGCUGCCGACACAGGCCAAGAUGCCACUGGCCUCCUGGGACACCUGGGCACACUCUGGCUCCUACUGAGGCAGCUGUGCACCAGCACUGCCAGCCCAUUCUCCAAACAGCUCUGAUGCCACUUCUCCCUUAACAGCAGUGGCUUUGCGUGUGAUGGAGCCACAAAACAAGAGUGCAGCAGCUAAACUGGUUGAGAAGGGCAGGGAAGUUGGUGAAGAUGGACUGUAACCAGGUGAAGUGAGAGCCCAGGCAGUCUGGAAGGAGAACAGCCAUAAAACACCUGGUAUCAUGUAUUUGGAAAUACUGUCCUAUGUCAUUCCCUGUGGCAGCAGUGAAAGAUUUCACUACAAAAAUCAAUCCUUUCAAUCUCAGAAGACCCUGGGGAUGCCAACUUGUCUCACCUUUCUCCAAAACCUGUUAAAAAAUUCAGUAUGUUUUGAGGAGGCUUUUAUGAUACAUCAGCUCUUGGGCUUUUCCAUUGUACACCUUAUCCGUGGAAUUUAUUUUAAUGUUCAGUUACAUAUAAUAUUGUUUCUGGACCUCAUUUGUGUUUUUCCUACCUGACAACAGUUUUCUGAAAUGUUAUAUAAAAUAAAGCCCAUCAAAAAACAUCAGUGCACCUCCGGUUGUCUUUUUCAGCCAUGGCUCACUAAAAUGUCCUAAUACAGGGCAUGGAUGCUCUCCUUAUAAUCCUUGGGAUGCAAAAACCUCGACUAUGCCAGAAAAAGUCAGGGUGCAGCAAACCCAACCUAUUUGAUUUAUUCAUGGUAAAUCACAUUAAUUCCUCUCAAGGCUACUAUUUCAUGCACAAAUAUUUGCUUCAGUCUCAAAGCAGAGAUCAGCAGAAUAAA